CUGAGACACGGCCCAGACUCCUACGGGAGGCAGCAGUGGGGAAUAUUGGACAAUGGGGGCAACCCUGAUCCAGCCAUGCCGCGUGAGUGAUGAAGGCCUUCGGGUUGUAAAGCACUUUUGUCCGGAACGAAACGUGUCGGGUGAAUAUCCCGGCAAACUGACGGUACCGGAAGAAUCAGCACCGGCUAACUUCGUGCCAGCAGCCGCGGUAAUACGAAGGGUGCAAGCGUUACUCGGAAUUACUGGGCGUAAAGCGUGCGUAGGUGGUUUGUUAAGUCCGUUGUGAAAGCCCUGGGCUCAACCUGGGAAUGGCAGUGGAUACUGGCAAGCUAGAGUGCGGUAGAGGGUAGUGGAAUUCCCGGUGAGCAGUGAAAUGCGUAGAGAUCGGGAGGAACACCAGUGGCGAAGGCGGCUACCUGGACCAGCACUGACACUGAGGCACGAAAGCGUGGGGAGCAAACAGGAUUAGAUACCCUGGUAGUCCACGCCCUAAACGAUGCGAACUGGAGGUUGGGUGCAACUUGGCACUCAGUCUCGAAGCUAACGCGUUUAAGUUCGCCGCCUGGGGAGUACGGUCGCAAGACUGAAACUCAAAGGAAUUGACGGGGGCCCGCACAAGCGGUGGAGUUAUGUGGUUUAAUUCGAUGCAACGCGAAAAACCUUACCUACCUUG
rnacentral:rRNA from 1 species